rnacentral:rRNA from 1 species
UACGGAGGGAGCUAGCGUUGUUCGGAAUUACUGGGCGUAAAGCGCACGUAGGCGGCUUUGUAAGUUAGAGGUGAAAGCCCGGGGCUCAACUCCGGAACUGCCUUUAAGACUGCAUCGCUUGAAUCCGGGAGAGGUGAGUGGAAUUCCGAGUGUAGAGGUGAAAUUCGUAGAUAUUCGGAAGAACACCAGUGGCGAAGGCGGCUCACUGGACCGGUAUUGACGCUGAGGAGCGAAAGCCAGGGGAGCAAACGGG